rnacentral:rRNA from 1 species
UACGUAGGGGCCAAGCGUUGUUCGGAUUUACUGGGCGUAAAGGGCGCGUAGGCGGCGUGUUAAGUCAGCUGUGAAAUCUCCAAGCUUAACUUGGAACGGUCAGCUGAUACUGAUGUGCUAGAGUGCAGAAGGGGCAAUCGGAAUUCUUGGUGUAGCGGUGAAAUGCGUAGAUAUCAAGAGGAACACCUGAGGUGAAGGCGGGUUGCUGGGCUGACACUGACGCUGAGGCGCGAAAGCUAGGGUAGCAAACGGG